UGAUGAUCGGUGCUUGCACCGAGAUUCAACAUGGAACGAGUGGCGGACGGGUGAGUAACACGUGGGUAACCUGCCCUUAAGUGGGGGAUAACAUUUGGAAACAGAUGCUAAUACCGCAUAGAUCCAAGAACCGCAUGGUUCUUGGCUGAAAGAUGGCGUAAGCUAUCGCUUUUGGAUGGACCCGCGGCGUAUUAGCUAGUUGGUGAGGUAACGGCUCACCAAGGCGAUGAUACGUAGCCGAACUGAGAGGUUGAUCGGCCACAUUGGGACUGAGACACGGCCCAAACUCCUACGGGAGGCAGCAGUAGGGAAUCUUCCACAAUGGACGCAAGUCUGAUGGAGCAACGCCGCGUGAGUGAAGAAGGCUUUCGGGUCGUAAAACUCUGUUGUUGGAGAAGAAUGGUCGGCAGAGUAACUGUUGUCGGCGUGACGGUAUCCAACCAGAAAGCCACGGCUAACUACGUGCCAGCAGCCGCGGUAAUACGUAGGUGGCAAGCGUUAUCCGGAUUUAUUGGGCGUAAAGCGAGCGCAGGCGGUUUUUUAAGUCUGAUGUGAAAGCCCUCGGCUUAACCGAGGAAGCGCAUCGGAAACUGGGAAACUUGAGUGCAGAAGAGGACAGUGGAACUCCAUGUGUAGCGGUGAAAUGCGUAGAUAUAUGGAAGAACACCAGUGGCGAAGGCGGCUGUCUGGUCUGUAACUGACGCUGAGGCUCGAAAGCAUGGGUAGCGAACAGGAUUAGAUACCCUGGUAGUCCAUGCCGUAAACGAUGAAUGCUAGGUGUUGGAGGGUUUCCGCCCUUCAGUGCCGCAGCUAACGCAUUAAGCAUUCCGCCUGGGGAGUACGACCGCAAGGUUGAAACUCAAAGGAAUUGACGGGGGCCCGCACAAGCGGUGGAGCAUGUGGUUUAAUUCGAAGCAACGCGAAGAACCUUACCAGGUCUUGACAUCUUUUGAUCACCUGAGAGAUCAGGUUUCCCCUUCGGGGGCAAAAUGACAGGUGGUGCAUGGUUGUCGUCAGCUCGUGUCGUGAGAUGUUGGGUUAAGUCCCGCAACGAGCGCAACCCUUAUGACUAGUUGCCAGCAUUUAGUUGGGCACUCUAGUAAGACUGCCGGUGACAAAC
rnacentral:rRNA from 1 species